GGGGAUGUGGCUCAGUGGUAGAGUACUUGCUUGACAUGUAUGAGAUCUCAGGUUCAAUCCCUAGUACCACCA
rnacentral:tRNA from 1 species